UCUGGUGCCAGCAGCCGCGGUAAUUCCAGCUCCAAUAGCGUAUAUUAAAGUUGUUGCGGUUAAAAAGCUCGUAGUCCGAGCUCAGUUCCGGACUGGCCGGGGAGGUCACCGCCCGGUGCCUUGCCUGGGCCAGGCUCCGAACCAAUGCCCUCGCUCUGCGGGGGCGACACGCCGGUGCUCGCCGGGGUGCUCUUGACCGAGUGUCCCGCGCGGCCGGCCAGUUCACCUUGAAUAAAUGAGAGUGCUCAAAGCAGGCUACUCUUGAAACCUAAAGCCCGAAUGUUACCUGCAUGGAAUGAUGGAAGAUGAUCUCGGUUCCAUUUUAUUGGGGGUGGGAAUCCGAGUUAAUGAUAAACAGGGACUGUCGGGGGCAUCCGUACUACGACGCGAGAGGUGAAAUUCAGUGACCGUCGUAGGACGAACGACAGCGAAAGCAUUUGCCAAGAAUGUCUUCGUUGAUCAA
rnacentral:rRNA from 1 species